CACAUCAUUUGCAAACCCAUACACAGUCUGCUGCACGUGGAUGUGUCUUAAAAUGACGCACAUUUUCUUAACAACACAGCCGUAUCGCCUGUUUAAUCCUAUGCACUGACUUAGAGUGUACAUCUUGCAAGUACAGCACAUUGCCGCAGAAAGGAUCGAUGACUUGAUUUAUACAAUGACAUCUCCUUAAUCCUCAGCAAGCCUUGCAUGGACUUGAUGAGUACUUAGAGUUUCAAUAAUUUGUACAGUACAUUCAGGACCUCGCACUCUUUCACAUAAAGAAUGGUACAACAGAUCACAAUCACUCCAAUUUGCUGCAAGAAACCUCAGGACAUUAGUUUUCUGACUGGAUUGCAUAUUCGCCUGUGUAUAUGUCUGGAGCGCACAGUGUGCGCACACAUGCAGUACAGCGAAUCUGCCUCUGUUCCUUCAUCAGCACAUUCUACUUCAACAAUCUCUGUAAACAAAUGGGAAGACUGCCAUCAAUGCAACUCAGAUGCCUAACCUGGACUGGAAUACACAAACAUUUUAACCUUGACUUUCACGUGCUGCUGAAACAUUUAAGGUUUUCACUGUAAAUUAUUAAGUAUAGAAGUAUUGAUUUUUAAAAGUUGCUAAUGUUUGGAAAAUACAUAAUAAUAUUUAACAUUUUUGCUUCCUUUAUAUUGAUACUUUUUUGAACUGAAAAUGUAAUUUUUUUUCUGAUGCACAUGCAUUAUUGAUGUGUCCGAGAUAAAUUUCCAGUUCUGUUAUAAACAGGGAUUUUUUUUUUUUUUGUUUAAGACUUGUGAAUAUAUGCAGUACAAAUGGAUUAUAUUUCUGUUCUUGGAUGAAAGCAGUUUAUACAUAGCAUAAUCCUGAAGUGCAGGCUUUGGUGAAUUGUCAUAUUCAUCAUUAUGGCUAUUGUACUAGUAAUGCAGCCCUCUUGUCUUGGGUUGAUUUAACAAUAAUUUUGUACUCUUCCACUCUGUGAGAUACAUUGCUGUCAGGAGAUGCUGACAUUACUGUACUGUACAUAGUACUCGAAUGUCAGUGGAAUUUGAAACCAUAGUCAAAAGCAAUCAAAUUGAGUCUUCCUUUUCUUUGUGUAUAUAUAAUGUACCUGGACAGCAUAUACAUACAUAACCUGCCCCAGAAUCGACAAUAUUGUGGUUGUAAUUUCUGGAUACUGACUCCUCAUCCCUGCAAGUAAUAAAUUAGAAAAUGAUUAUA